rnacentral:rRNA from 1 species
AUCAUGGCUCAGAUUGAACGCUGGCGGCGUGCCUAACACAUGCAAGUCGAGCGGUAACAGGUGUAGCAAUACAUGCUGACGAGCGGCGAACGGGUGAGUAAUGCUUUGGAAUCUUCCCAGUAGUGGGGAAUAACCAGUCGAAAGAUUGGCUAAUACCGCAUACGUCUGUAAAGGGAAAGCGGGGGCUCGUAAGACCUCGCGCUAUUGGAUGAGCCAAAGUCGGAUUAGCUAGUUGGUGGGGUAAUGGCCUACCAAGGCGACAAUCCGUAGCUGGUCUGAGAGGACGACCAGCCACACCGGAACUGAGACACGGUCCGGACUCCUACGGGAGGCAGCAGUGGGGAAUAUUGGACAAUGGGGGAAACCCUGAUCCAGCGACGCCGCGUGUGUGAAGAAGGCCUGCGGGUUGUAAAGCACUUUUAGUGGGGACAAAAAGCUACGGAUUAAUACUCUGNGUCUUAUUUAACCCAAAGAAAAAGCACCGCGCUAA